UACGAAGGGGGCUAGGCGUUGCUCGGAAUCACUGGGCGUAAAGCGCACGUAGGCGGAUUGCUAAGUCAGGGGUGAAAUCCUGGAGCUCAACUCCAGAACUGCCCUUGAUACUGGCGGUCUCGAGUCCGGGAGAGGUGAGUGGAACUGCGAGUGUAGAGGUGAAAAUUCGUAGAUAUUCGCAAGAACACCAGUGGCGAAGGCGGACUCGACUGGCCCGGUUAGCGACGCUGAGGUGAGGAAAGCGAUGG
rnacentral:rRNA from 1 species